AUUCUAAUAGCUUAUAUUUAGAGCAUAGCACUGAAGAUGCUAAGGAAGCAUUAAAUGCUUUAGAGUA
rnacentral:tRNA from 1 species